rnacentral:tRNA from 3 species
CUUGAUCGUGGGCGGGGAUGCCAAGGCGUUCAAGGCGUUCUUCGCGGCGAUUGCGCAGCAUCGGGUUUGGGAUCGUGAGCCUAAGGCCAAGGC